AAUCCCAUGCUGAGGGUAUCUACGAAGUAACUCAUUGAAUCUUUCCCAUGCCUCGUAUAGGGACCCGUCAUCCAAUUGUUGAAAAGUGGUGAUCUCAUUCCGCAACU
rfam:Gossypium raimondii Chr03_contig_621, whole genome shotgun sequence.